UACGGAGGGUGCAAGCGUUAUCCGGAUUCACUGGGUUUAAAGGGUGCGUAGGUGGGUUGGUAAGUCAGUGGUGAAAUCUCCGAGCUUAACUUGGAAACUGCCAUUGAUACUAUCAGUCUUGAAUAUUGUGGAGGUCAGCGGAAUAUGUCAUGUAGCGGUGAAAUGCUUAGAUAUGACAUGGAACACCAAUUGCGAAGGCAGCUUACUAUGGUAUGAUUGACGCUGAGGCACGAAAGCGUGGGGAUCAAACAGG
rnacentral:rRNA from 1 species